rnacentral:lncRNA from 1 species
CUAGAAGAAAUAUGGAACUGGCAAUGAAGGGUGCAGAUAUCACGUACAUAGAUUUGAAGGAAGGAAACACUAGCUAAUUGAUUGGCUGACACAGGCUAUAAGGAGAAACCUUCCAGAAUACUGCAGACUGAUGAAAUCCAUGGUGAUGUCAUUUGAUUCCUCAAGCUCAAUCAAUGGUCCAAAUGUAAGAAUUAGGUAGUUUUGUCACUUAUUUGAUUGUAAAAGUUCAUUUUUUUAUAUUUUAUUGCCUUAGACCUGAUUGUUUUUUCCAAUUAUACCAAGAUUUCACUCCUACACUCACUUACUCGAUGAGAAAAUACCCUAGAAGAAGGGCUGAUUUGCAGAUGAGAUGAGUAAUUAUCAUACCGACUCGCUUUCAUCCUUACCCAUCCUAGGGAAACUCUUUUUAGGAAGUUUUGCAAUAGCAAGGUGGAAGUUUAUACUUUAUAACUCGAUUUUUUUAUUUUUUUUUUCACGAUUUAAAAAACGAAUGUAAGUAUAAAUAAGCGACUGAUACGAAAGAAACUGUGAUAGAUUUUUUAGUCUAUCUAUAAGAGGAGAUUGUAUGAAAAAUGUAACCAAUUCUUCCGUUUCUUUGGGACACUAGCAAUCUGUCAAGAGUUUCAAAUUUAGUACUGAUAUUUUAGCAAUAAAUCCAAUAAAUUUGGGUACUGUGAUUGGUGCACUGAUCUUUCUGGAAAGAAUGUGGG